AUUGAACGCUGGCGGCAGGCUUAACACAUGCAAGUCGAGCGGAGAUGAGGUGCUUGCACCUUAUCUUAGCGGCGGACGGGUGAGUAAUGCUUAGGAAUCUGCCUAUUAGUGGGGGACAACAUUCCGAAAGGAAUGCUAAUACCGCAUACGCCCUACGGGGGAAAGCAGGGGAUCUUCGGACCUUGCGCUAAUAGAUGAGCCUAAGUCGGAUUAGCUAGUUGGUGGGGUAAAGGCCUACCAAGGCGACGAUCUGUAGCGGGUCUGAGAGGAUGGUCCGCCACACUGGGACUGAGACACGGCCCAGACUCCUACGGGAGGCAGUAGUGGGGAAUAUUGGACAAUGGGCGGAAGCCUGAUCCAGCCAUGCCGCGUGUGUGAAGAAGGCCUUUUGGUUGUAAAGCACUUUAAGCGAGGAGGAGGCUACCUGGAUUAAUACUCUAGGAUAGUGGACGUUACUCGCAGAAUAAGCACCGGCUAACUCUGUGCCAGCAGCCGCCGUAAUAC
rnacentral:rRNA from 1 species